GCUGGAGACUGCGGCAGCUGUGAUAAUCCAUUUCCUGGCCUAUCGGCGCAGCGGCGGCUCCAGCCCUGGCAGCUGAUUCUCUUGUCUCGUCUGAUUCCAUUGACAAGACAUGAUCGAUCGCAGGCGCUCCUCCUGUCGCUCCUCCUCCUCCUCGCAGUGUAGCUUUCUCGACGCUGACCUUGUGUUUGGCGCCCUGGCGGCGGGAUACGUUUUCAGGGACCAAGGUUGAGAGGUUCAGGGCUGUGCUUGGACACAUUCACCAUCCAUUCCUGUCACGAACAGGCAAUUCCGUCCUCAGGCAGCUCAAGUGGACGAAGUUCUCCAUGUGCCUGGUGGGUUUGGGGGAAUUAAACAAGCCCGCUUUUUCUCGGAGAGACUGCCGUCCUGCGCGAGCUUGAUACUCCUCCCGAUUUUAGCACCCAAAAAUCACCCCGAUUCUUGAGACGCAUCAAGGAUAUUUACUAGCCAGACUUCCAUGGUGGCUACAUGAAAGGUUUAUGCGAAGGAGGACGCCACCCUCACUGUCAGAGCGUGGUUGAGGCUUUUGACAAGCGCCAAAGGGGUGAUUACAGUUCCCUAGGAUCACCCCCGCAUUGAUCUGCCACAGGAGAACUAAAUCUCUCGUGCCUCUUGAUUAUUGCUAGUGAGAGCAGCAGGAGCUUGAUGGUGCAGAACUACCACUUUCUGUUCUAUCUGGAAGCGUCCCAGUUGUCACCGCACCAAAUGCCACGAACUUUCAAUUGUUAUCUAGGGCAUAAAAUGAGUAACUAUCACAAAUAUUCUUUUGCA